UUGGUACUGAAACGCAGUGAAAAGUGGAAGUGUCGUGCUCAGUUUGCGCCACCAAAAGGGCACACUUUGAAUUUUAUCCAACUCAGAGCCAACAUCAUGGCGUCGUCAUAGAAGUGAUGGGAACAAGGAAAGGAAAGGGAAGUAAGCAUCCUCCAAGGACCCUUCAGAUUACAGAACUCCAAGGACUAGAGACAUAACGUUUCUUAAACGUUGGAGCGCGCAACAUCCACCGUCGUGCGCGGGAAAACUGGGCGUGAGAGGCGAUCGAUUGAGCAUCAGGGGCUUGCUGAAUCCCCACCCCUCGUGCAUCCCUUCUGUGUCUGUGUCACAACCCGCUGCUGUCACAUCCUAGGCAUCGUCCUCUGUCAACAAGAUGCGCGAUUGCUAAAAAAGUGCACCAUUGAUGAUCGUGCGAUGCUUCCUGCUAAUUACCGCAGCCGUCUGACCUCUCCCGACGGGAUCGACAAGAUUCAUCUGCCAUCAAAGCAUUAAUCUCGUCUGUCAAUCGCCGGUCGAGCAUUAAAACCCUGUUAUCGCCCCCUUCGUAGUUCGAAGCAAACUUCGAUAAAAAAGGAAAGAGGAAAGUGCGCCCAGAUGGACGGAGGAUGGAACAGACAACUUGUUUUGAACAUUUCUAAAUUAAGAGGAAAUAAUCGAGGAACAUUAAAUAAUAUCGUCGCUUCACGUUAAUGCUCUACAUCUACCCUGUAGAUCCGAAUUUGUUUGAAAUCAGGCGACAAAUUCGGUUCUAGAGAGGUUUGUGUGGUGCAUACAAUGCAACGUGACUAUAAUAAAAAUAAGUGCUAGUGUUACUAACAGUAUCAUAAUUGAAAGAACUGUUCUAUGUAGAAAACACAAAUUGUAUGAAUUGAAUGAAUGAAGAUUUAACAUAUUGCUAUUGUCAAUACUA